rnacentral:antisense_RNA from 1 species
CUUCAGGGAGCCGAGCAGCAGCGGCUGACCGGGGUCGCGGUCCUUGCCGUAGGUGGCGAGGAUGGCCUGCGCCUC